AUCACAUCUCAAAGAUAGAAGUUGAAACAAUUCCAACAGUACCUGGGAAGGAGGUCAAGGCAAGUACUUUGAGUGAUCCAGACCUUGACUCCUCUGAUGUCCAGGAGCCUUGCUUAAUGCCUGCAAACACCUACAAUGGCACUUAAUAUAACAUUUACCAAAGAGUUAGCUGGAUGUCCAAUUAAACAGAGCACCCCACUAACCACACCCAUUAUCAUACCAGAAAUCAAGGUGCAUCUGGAGGACGACAUCUCAUCAGAAGACAAGGGUGACCUGGAGGAUACUGCAGAAGAGGAGAUGGGAAAGUGACUCCAGGUGCAGUAGAGGCCCAGCUGAAAAAAAAUAGCACAGCUGAUAGCAGGAAGAGGUCAGAACAUGACUAUACAACAGAAGAGGAAGAAGAUAAGAAGGCAGCUCCAGUUAUUUUUAAGG